UACGUAGGGGGCUAGCGUUGUCCGGAUUUAUUGGGCGUAAAGAGCGUGUAGGCGGCCAUGUAGGUCCGGUGUGAAAACUCGAGGCUUAACCUCGAGAUGUCAUCGGAAACCAUUUGGCUAGAGUCCGGAAGAGGAGAGUGGAAUUCCUGGUGUAGCGGUGAAAUGCGCAGAUAUCAGGAAGAACACCAAUGGCGAAGGCAGCUCUCUGGGACGGUACUGACGCUGAGACGCGAAAGCGUGGGGAGCGGACAGG
rnacentral:rRNA from 1 species